UACCUGUUUAGCCGUGUUCUCCUGU
rnacentral:piRNA from 1 species